UACUUAAAUUAUUUUAAAGAAUUUUUUUUUAAUCUUUGGUAAUGAAUAUUUAAUAUUUUGCAUCUGUCAAGGAGCUAGUUACUGGCCAUUAAUUUCUGGAUUCUGGGUCCACUGCAAAGAACAGUGGAUUGGGAUUUAGUAAAACUAAAUUUUUCUUCCUAACUACUAAACCAGUUGUGUGAUCUUGGGUCAAUGCUUUUUUAAGCAUGAGCUUUAUUACCUGUAAAGUGUGGAAAUUAAACUACAUAACCUCUUAGGUCCUUUUUAGCACUAAUUGUAGUUUAUAUUGUUUAUCCUUGAUUUCAUUGUUAUGAAAAAUUGGAAAUUUCUUAAUAUCAUUGAGCCUCAACUUCUUUAUAAAAUGGGGAUAAUAAUUGCUUUAUAUACCUCACAAAAAUGAUUGUGAGGAUCAGUUGAUAAGAUGUAUACAAGUGCUUUGUAAUAGUAAAGCUAUAUAAAUGUAAACUAUUCUUGAUUUGCACAGCAAUAGAGAAAAGACUUGCUAAAUAUAUGCAUCCCUUCUCUUAAGAUGAUAUUAGAAUUGUCAGUUCUAUUGAUAAUCAUCUUCAAUGAAAAUUGUAUGAGGCUUAAGUAGAAGAUAUGGUUCAAGUCAAUUAUACAUUUUAAAUAAUAUUUUAGACAUUUAGUCUCAAGGCCAAAUGUAUGGGCACAUUUAAGUGAAAUGCUGCUUUAAACACUUGAUUAUCAGUCAUUUGACAAAAUUAUAAUAUUUAAUCAAGUAUAACAGAGCUAUUAAAAAACUUGUGCUUUAGCAAACUAGGUUUUUGUUUUAGAUUUAGAAAGUAUAUUAAUGGAAAUGUAGUACAGGUAAAAGCCACUGGAUUUGAAGUCAUAGAUCCUAAAGUUAAGUUCUAACUACCACUUAUUAGUUAUGAAACUUUAGAUUUCUCUGGGCCUUAGUUAUAUUCUCAGUAAAAAUAGUAAAAUCAGUAAAAAAAAUUUUAAAGCAUCUCCCAGUUCUCCACUUAGACCUUGGUCAUUCAAUUUACAAAUAAAACAGCCAUUUGCUCCAAUCUUGAUAUUCCUCAGAUAUAGACCAUUUGAUUUGCCAUAACUAUACCACUGUCUUCCAAUGAAUGCCUUAAAAAAAACCCAAAAACAAAGUUUCUGGUUUUGUGAUAGUAUUCUAAAACCAAAGUUUAAGUAAUCUAAAGAUUAGGGGAUGAAAGAUAGAAAAUAAAAAAACUGUCCUUUUGGUUGGAAAUACCGAGAAACAGAAUCUGUGUACAUAGCAAAAAUUUCCUAAGGCUUGUUAACUUAGCAUAUUUCAGUAAAUUCUAUUUUACAAAUAAGAGAAUUGUAGUGUACAGUACAAAGUCUACAUUUGUCAUAAAAAUGAGAUCAAAGCUAAUUGCCCUUUUAUGAUAAGUAGUUGAAGAAAAUGAAUCUAGGCAAGAUGAUGAAGUAAAUGAAAUUUUUUUGUGGUUCCUGUCUCCCGUAAGAUGCCCAGUGAUCUUAGGUGGAUUUCUAUUCAAAAUAAAUUGUAAUAUAGGAUAGAAUACCAAUUUUGGAGUCAGGAAGACUUGAGUUCAAAUGUAGCCUGAAAUACUUAGUAGCUGUGUGACCCUGGACAAGUCACUUAGUCUUGUUUGCCUCAGCUUGCUCAAAUAUAAAAUGAGCUAGAGAAGAAAAUGACAUUCCGCUCCAAUAUCUUUGCCAAGAAAAAUCUAUAUGGGGUAGCAAGAGACACUACUGAAACAACAUUUGGAGUUGUCCAAAAGUGUAAUGGACUACUCAGGGAAUAGUAUUUUGUGUAUCAAUGAUGGCCUUAAUGCAUGUGACCACAUGUUGGUUUGUUAAAGAUGGAUUUUUUAAAAAUUGAGUAGAGCUUAAAUUAAAUAAAUUUCUAUGGUCC
rnacentral:lncRNA from 1 species